UGGCUCAGCUGGUAAAGCAUCUGCCUGCAGUGCAGGAGACCUGGGUUCGAUCCCUG
rnacentral:tRNA from 1 species